CAAUGACCUGGGCUGUGCUACGAUAUCCGUGCUUCCAUGAGUAAACUUAAACGUACACUAUCCGCACUCGGUAAGUGCGUCGAUUUUGUGCGCUGGCCGGAAAUUAUGAUUGCGAAUUCCACCGCGGCUCAUCCCCCGUGAUAAACAUCCCGCUUUGAACGGUGACCCUUUUCGCCUGGCAGCUAUAAAAAGCUAUAAAAGCUAUUAAAACUACAAAAUGACCCAUUAAUGCAGGCUAUGUAGAAAAUGCACCGACGUUAGCUCAGCCUCUUCCGCUACGUAGCUAAGAUGGCUGCCGUACACUUAUUUUCACCUCGACUGUAAAUGGAACGCCAUACGUACUCAAAGUAUAGUAAGUACGGGAACUAUUGAUGUCGGAACACGCCAAUGGAGAUAUCCUGCUAACACGAGGUAUCUAAGCUACAAGCUAAAGCACAACAGAACCGUUCAACAUGUGGACUGUUGGAGCGCGUUCCCUCUGAGCGGAACGUUCAGUGAGCUUAAAACGACUCCCUGCUGCCGCCGUUGGGCCGUAGUGUAACGGAGUCACCCGCCGCCGCCCGUCUGCCGCCGUUGGGCCGUAGUGUAACGGAGUCACCCGCCGCCGCCCGUCUGCCGCCCGUCUGCCGCCGUUGGGCCGUAGUGUAACGGAGUCACCCGCCGCCGCCCGUCUGCCGCCGUUGGGCCGUAGUGUAACGGAGUCACCCGCCGCUCACCCGCCGCCGCCCGUCUGCCGCCGUUGGGCCGUAGUGUAACGGAGUCACCCGCCGCCGCCCGUCUGCCGCCGUUGGGCCGUAGUGUAACGGAGUCACCCGCCGCCGCCCGUCUGCCGCCGUUGGGCCGUAGUGUAACGGCGUCACCCGCCGCCGCCCGUCUGCCGCCCGUCUGCCGCCCGUCUGCCGCCGUUGGGCCGUAGUGUAACGGCGUCUCCCCGCCGCCGCCCGUCUGCCGCCCGACUGCCGCCGUUGGGCCAUAGUGUAACGGCGUCUCACAGUCCCGCUCUGUAGAAGAAAGGGCUCAUUGUUAAAACAUGUAGAGACUCGCCAUUAUUCAUAAUCCAGCCAUCAUUGAAAUAUGCUUUGUUCAUAUUACAGCAACUCUCUGUGUUCAUUUAUUUUGUAAUUGCGGUUAAAUUCCUUAAUUUGUUUGUGCAUUUGAAGUUGUGACUGUUCUGUUAAUAAAC
ensembl:lncRNA